rnacentral:tRNA from 1 species
GGGUGAUUAGUCAGCUGGGAGAGCACCUCCCUUACAAGGAGGGGGUCGGCGGUUCGAUCCCGUCAUCACCCACCA